UACAGAGGGGGCAAGCGUUGUUCGGAAUUACUGGGCGUAAAGGGCGCGUAGGCGGCCUUCUAAGUCGAACGUGAAAUCCCCGGGCUUAACCUGGGAACUGCAUUCGAUACUGAGCAGCUAGAGUAUGAGAGAGGGAGGUAGAAUUCCACGUGUAGCGGUGAAAUGCGUAGAUAUCUGGAGGAACACCGGUGGCGAAGGCGGCAUCCUGGACCAACACUGACGCUGAGUGAGCGAAAGCCAGGGGAGCAAACGGG
rnacentral:rRNA from 1 species